GCAUAAGACUUCUCUUUUUCUACCAAAGUUGAUAGAUUACAUUUAGGUGCAUCCUACUCCAAACAGUCAACCUAAAUCUACUAUAGCCAACAUACACAGUAAGAACCCGAAUGGCUAGGAAUCAAGAAAAUAUGCAGUCAAACUCAAUAGCCUUGUUGUGAAUAGUCGAUGACACCAUAGAUCAAAGGAUCACUAACACCACU
rnacentral:lncRNA from 1 species